rnacentral:lncRNA from 1 species
GUGGAUACCUAAAAAGGGACGCGGGAAUUUUUUGGUUGUGCAAAACUUUGAGCGACCAACAACUCGUCGCGUAAAACUCUAAAAAUUUGGGCGAGCACCAAAAAUGGGAUAUGAGAAUUUUUAUUAUUUUUAUUUUAUAAAUUUUUUUUAAGACUUUGCACGACAAAUAUUUUUCAUCGCGCCAAGUGAUACGGUUUUUAAAACCAAAAUAACUCCUCCACCAUUUUCUCAAUGUCUUUCUCUACUCUUACCUCUCCUCUCUCUUUCCCUCUCCCCAAAUCCAACCCUUUCUCUCACACUCACUCCUCUCACUUAAUCUCUCAUCUCUCUCUUCACUAUCUCUCACUCUCACUCAUUCUCUCACUAUCUUCUCUAAUUCUCUCACACUCACUUCUCCCUCUCAUUCUCACUCACUCUCAA